CUACUUUUUCGUGGGGGAUAACGUAGGGAAACUUACGCUAAUACCGCAUACGACCUACGGGUGAAAGCCGGGGACCUUCGGGCCUGGCGCGGAUAAAUGAGCCGAUGUCCGAUUAGCUAGUUGGCGGGGUAAGAGCCCACCAAGGCGACGAUCGGUAGCUGGUCUGAGAGGAUGAUCAGCCACACUGGAACUGAGACACGGUCCAGACUCCUACGGGAGGCAGCAGUGGGGAAUAUUGGACAAUGGGCGCAAGCCUGAUCCAGCCAUACCGCGUGGGUGAAGAAGGCCUUCGGGUUGUAAAGCCCUUUUGUUGGGAAAGAAAAGCAGCCAGUUAAUACCUGGUUGUUCUGACGGUACCCAAAGAAUAAGCACCGGCUAACUUCGUGCCAGCAGCCGCGGUAAUACGAAGGGUGCAAGCGUUACUCGGAAUUACUGGGCGUAAAGCGUGCGUAGGUGGUUGUUUAAGUCUGUCGUGAAAGCCCUGGGCUCAACCUGGGAAUUGCGAUGGAAACUGGGCAACUAGAGUGUGGCAGAGGAUAGUGGAAUUCCUGGUGUAGCAGUGAAAUGCGUAGAGAUCAGGAGGAACAUCCGUGGCGAAGGCGACUGUCUGGGCCAACACUGACACUGAGGCACGAAAGCGUGGGGGAGCAAACAGGAUUAGAUACCCUGGUAGUCCACGCCCUAAACGAUGCGAACUGGA
rnacentral:rRNA from 1 species